rnacentral:rRNA from 1 species
ACGGACGCUGGCGGCGUGCUUAACACAUGCAAGUCGCACGGAAAGGCCCUGCUUUUGUGGGGUGCUCGAGUGGCGAACGGGUGAGUAACACGUGAGUAACCUGCCCUUGACUUUGGGAUAACUUCAGGAAACUGGGGCUAAUACCGGAUAGGAGCUCCUGCUGCAUGGUGGGGGUUGGAAAGUUUCGGCGGUUGGGGAUGGACUCGCGGCUUAUCAGCUUGUUGGUGGGGUAGUGGCUUACCAAGGCUUUGACGGGUAGCCGGCCUGAGAGGGUGACCGGCCACAUUGGGACUGAGAUACGGCCCAGACUCCUACGGGAGGCAGCAGUGGGGAAUAUUGCACAAUGGGCGGAAGCCUGAUGCAGCAACGCCGCGUGCGGGAUGACGGCCUUCGGGUUGUAAACCGCUUUCGCCUGUGACGAAGCGUGAGUGACGGUAAUGGGUAAAGAAGCACCGGCUAACUACGUG